CAUGAUUUGUUUUAAAUCUUGUACAUGUUUCAUAAAGUUAUUAACUAUAACAAUCAAAUUUUUUUUGCUAAAUAAGACCUGAGUCGUCCAUAAUAUAAGCACUCGAGAGUUUAUGUGUAGUGAAAAUAAUUUACAUUUAAGAAUAUUAAUAAUGCAUGUGAUUAUGAAAGGCAAUGACAUUUGUCAAAUAUUGAAAUACUUAUAUAGUACAAAAAUAUGAAAUCAGUUACAUACCAAUAAAUUACUGUGAUAUCAGAAUUACGGUAAUUUAAUCCUAAAAACUAUACACAGCUUUUUGUUACACGAGCCGAUCCAUGUUCCUUUGAUGGAACUCUGCAUUACUCGUGGGAGUUUGCACAGACUGUGCAUUAUCCACAACAUGCAAGACAGGCUGACCCUAUCUACUUUGCGUCGCCAAGGGAACAGGAAAUCAAACGUUCUACCUGUUUGAUGAGGCAGAGCUGCCUUGAAAGGGUGCUGACUGUGUCAUAAGCUUCGUGCACCAUUAUUUCCAGCACUAUGGUUAUGAAGAGAAGAAUGCGCAGGCCUUUAUGAAUCCAUCAGCAUCAACACCAUGCUAGCAGGACACACAAUGCUCCUGACUUGCAUUUUGGUGUUUGGAAAUUGAAGUGGAGGGCGAGUGAUGCAGAGACAAUGCAAGACAUUGCUAUUACCCUAUGAUCAUCAUAGCGGUCAGGUCACAACAUUCCCCAUCUCGUGUUUUACAUGGAGAUUCCGGUCAAAUUCUUUGAGUGGCAGUCACACCUUGAAGCCUUGUUCAGGAAAAUAAAAAACAUAACCAAAUACCACCAUUUCUUUGUUUCCAAAGAUGAUCACAGUGGUUUGCAUUGUAAGUAGUAUGCUGACUCUACCGAGAAGUGUUUUGAUCUUUUGAAGUGUUCAAUAAAUAAGAAUGCCAUGCCUCUACCCAAUACCAUUCCAGUGCUACCUUUAGAAAGACAGUGGUACUUGUAUGAUCACAUUACGAAAUUUGUCAGGUCUGAGUCACCAAAAUAGAAAACAUGUCCCAAACAUCUUAUUCCAAAGUAAUGGUUUAUUUGGAAUGUACAAUUUUUUUAAAUUCCUGACAAUUUAGGCAUUAAUAAAUGUUGUAUAUAGGGAUUUGUGUGCAGUAAAGUAUUAUUACAUGUAUAUCUGUAUGUAUUGUUUAUGUGCCUGCAAUGACUGGUAAAUUAUGUCAAUGUUUUAUAAUGAUGUCAUUAUUAUGUUAAUUUACAUGCAUUUCAAGUAUAGUCCAUGUUGUGUGAUUUUUUU